GACGAACGCUGGCGGCGUGCUUAACACAUGCAAGUCGAACGGAAAGGCCCUGCUUUUGUGGGGUGCUCGAGUGGCGAACGGGUGAGUAACACGUGAGUAACCUGCCCUUGACUUUGGGAUAACUUCAGGCAACUGGGGCUAAUACCGGAUAGGAGCUCCUGCUGCAUGGUGGGGGUUGGAAAGUUUCGGCGGUUGGGGAUGGACUCGCGGCUUAUCAGCUUGUUGGUGGGGUAGUGACUUACCAAGGCUUUGACGGGUAGCCGGCCUGAGAGGGUGACCGGCCACGUUGGGACUGAGAUACGGCCCAGACUCCUACGGGAGGCAGCAGUGGGGAAGAUUGCACAGUGGGCGGAAGGCUGAUGUAGCAACGCCGCGUGCGGGAUGACGGCCUGCGGGUUGUAAACCGCUGUCGCCUGUGACGAAGCGUGAGUGACGGUAAUGGGUAAAGAAGCACCGGCUAACUACGUG
rnacentral:rRNA from 1 species